rnacentral:rRNA from 1 species
AGCAAUGCGUCAGCGGCAGACGGGUGAGUAACGCGUGGGAACGUACCUUUUGGUUCGGAACAACACAGGGAAACUUGUGCUAAUACCGGAUAAGCCCUUACGGGGAAAGAUUUAUCGCCGAAAGAUCGGCCCGCGUCUGAUUAGCUAGUUGGUGAGGUAAUGGCUCACCAAGGCGACGAUCAGUAGCUGGUCUGAGAGGAUGAUCAGCCACAUUGGGACUGAGACACGGCCCAAACUCCUACGGGAGGCAGCAGUGGGGAAUAUUGGACAAUGGGCGCAAGCCUGAUCCAGCCAUGCCGCGUGAGUGAUGAAGGCCCUAGGGUUGUAAAGCUCUUUUGUGCGGGAAGAUAAUGACGGUACCGCAAGAAUAAGCCCCGGCUAACUUCGUGCCAGCAGCCGCGGUAAUACGAAGGGGGCUAGCGUUGCUCGGAAUCACUGGGCGUAAAGGGUGCGUAGGCGGGUCUUUAAGUCAGGGGUGAAAUCCUGGAGCUCAACUCCAGAACUGCCUUUGAUACUGAAGAUCUUGAGUUCGGGAGAGGUGAGUGGAACUGCGAGUGUAGAGGUGAAAUUCGUAGAUAUUCGCAAGAACACCAGUGGCGAAGGCGGCUCACUGGCCCGAUACUGACGCUGAUGC